rnacentral:lncRNA from 1 species
AAAUGUCAGGUUUUACUAAUAAUUUCUAUUUUCUUUUGUGCAGUCUGUAAACAUCCUGCAUAUUUCAAGAGUAAUAGAAACAUCAAGUUUGCUGCCUGGCCUCAGGGCUGGGGCAGGGCAGGUGUUUUUACAGACGCCUCCUACGUCUGUGGUGAAUCUCUCAGGCAUUUGCUUGGUUACUAUAAACCUUCGGUGUUUCUAGAGUUCUGACAAAGUUGAUUCUGACCGUUUUGCUCAGUUUUUUCAGUGAUUCUGUGAAGGGACAGACCUUGGAUUUUCCUCUCUGCUAUUUUUGCAGACAUCAGUGAUUCUGUUGAUCUUUGGUCAUUACACAGUCCUUAUUUUCCGGAAUACACAGCCUGAUCACAGUGUGUUAUUCUGAUUUAAAAUUUCACUGUAUGGUGAUUUGUUAAACUGUUUAGCUAUUUUUACAUUUCUUGGGAAAUUUUGGAAAAUUUCCCCCAAAAAACAACUUUUUGGGGAAAAAUUAAAUGAUAAUUCUUUCUUGUAGUGAACUCCAGGUUUCAGCAUCCAUGCUAUUCUCUCCCCAAAACAUUAGGCGAGAAUCGUUUCCUCUUUUCCUAUCCUGGGAAGAUGAGAUGUGAGCUGAGCCCUAUUUCUUUUACACACUUAGAACAAUUUUUCAUGAAAGCCAUUUAGACCUGGAUUUUCUUUACCGCUAGGCUUCUAAUUAUGUUUUGCUUAUAAUUUACAUUAUUUUAAAUUAACAAAUCAUAAUUGUAUGAUAUUUAUGGAGCACAAUGCGAUGCUAUGACGUAUGUUUUCAGUGUAGAAGGAUUAACUCAAGCCAAUCACACACUGCGCCUCACAUACUUGCUGUUUUGGGGCCAUAGAUUUGAAAUGUGUCCUCUUAGUGCCUGUGACAUACACGUGCGUCAUUGCUGUGCAGGAGGCAGGGGAAUGGGGGGCCAGGGAGUGGGGAGCUGGAGUCACAGGACCCAAAGUGACAGGUGCAUGGAGGAAUGAGCUUUUUAUUUAUUCAUUACUUUCAUGUCCCCAUGCAGCAGUCACAGAAAAAAAAAACAUGUAAGUAAGAAAAAUUUUGAAUGUAAACUAGAGAGUAGUUAGUGGCCCUAUUGUAGACUAAAUAAUGGCCUCCUACAGAUACCCAUGUUGCAGUCGGCGGAGCCUGUGAAUGUCCCUUCCACGGACCCUGCAGGUGGGCUCAGCGAAGGGCCUGAAGAUGGGAGCUGACUGUCCUGGGGGGUCCACUGGAAUCGCAGAGGGCCUCGUCAGAGGGAGGCAGAGAUCGGAGUGAACCAGCCGCAAGCCAAGCACUGCGGGCACCAGGAAAGCUGGAGAGGCAGCGAGGAUCUUGGGUUAGAGCCUAGUGAGGGGGCGCGGCCCAGCCAGGAAGGCAGCCAGGAUCUUCCCUCAGAGCCUAGCGAGGGGGCGCGGCCCAGCCAGGAGAGCUGGAGAGGCAGCGAGGAUGUUCCCUCAGAGCCUGGCGAGGGGGCGUGGCCCAGCCAGGAGGGCGGGAGAGGCAGUGAAGAUCUUCCCUCAGAGCCUGGCGAGGGGGCGCGGCCCAGCCAGGAGAGCUGGAGAGGCCCGGAGGAUCUUCCCUCAGAGCCUAGCGAGGGAGCGCGGCCCAGCCAGGAGAGCUGGAGAGGCAGCCAGGAUCUUCCCUCAGAGCCUGGCGAGUGAGGGCGGCCCAGCCAGGAGAGCUGGAGAGGCAGCGAGGAUGUUCCCUCAGAGCCUGGCGAGGGGGCGUGGCCCAGCCAGGAGGGCGGGAGAGGCAGUGAAGAUCUUCCCUCAGAGCCUGGGGAGGGGGCGGGGCCCAGCCAGGAGAGCUGGAGAGGCAGCCAGGAUCUUCCCUCAGAGCCUGGCGAGGGGGCGCGGCCCAGCCAGGAGAGCUGGAGAGGCAGCGAGGAUCUUCCCUCAGAGCCUAUCUAGGGGGCGCGGCCCAGCCAGGAGAGCUGGAGAGGCAGCGAAGAUCUUCCGUUAGAGCCCAGCGAGGGGGUGUGGCCCAGCCAGGAGGGCUGGAGAGGCAGCGAGGAUCUUCCCUAAGAGCGUGGCGAGGGGGCGUGGCCCAGCCAGGAGAGCUGGAGAGGCAGCGAGGAUCUUCCCUCAGAGCCUGGCGAGGGGGCGCGGCCCAGCCAGGAGAGCUGGAGAGGCAGCGAAGAUCUUCCGUUAGAGCCCAGCGAGGGGGCGUGGCCCAGCCAGGAGGGCUGGAGUGGCAGCCAGGAUCUUCCCUCAGAGCCUGGCGAGGGGGCGGGGCCCAGCCAGGAGAGCUGGAGAGGCAGCCAGGAUCUUCCCUUAGAGCCCGGCGAGCGGGCGCGGCCCUGCCUACACCCCGACUUCAUCCCAGUGAGGAGGACGUCGGACUUCUGGCCUCCAGAGCUGUGAGAAAAUACAUUUGAGAUGUUCAAGCUGCCCAAUGUCUGGUCAUUUGUUACAAAAGAUAUGGAAAAUCAACGCACCAGUAACUGGAGAAAAUUGAUCACGACUGAAAGGCAGUGGGCAAAACGUACUGUUGUAGGUCAGCCCAGACCAGAAACUGUAAGUCUAUCAAACAGGCGGAGAAAAGCGGCCACCGUUUUAUUCCUCAAGAAUUGCACAGUGUUUAUUUAAGUCAGCAACCCUGUGGAGCAGAUUUAAAUUUUAUACAAUUUCUAGACAUACGGCAUGCACCCACACGUGUAUAAUCAUCAUGCAUGCAUUAUGUAUGCAUAUGUGUGGAGGGACAUAUGCCAGUGUACGUGUGGGUGGGUACAAUGAGAAAAGAUACAGGGUCUUUAAUUAUGGAAUUAUCCAAGUUUCUAUUCUUCUCAGAAAUCACCAUAAUGUUUUGGGAAUUCUCCCAGACUGCUUCUUGCACUGAAAGUUGUUCAAAAUUCUGUUAGAAAUUCUCUAUAUUUUGUCUAAAAAUAUGCUUCCCAUAUUGAUGUGAUACAAGUGAGGAAGAAAUUACAAAAUAUUCACUGAGUAAAAUAGCAAUUUAAAUGCAUUGAAUUAAAUUGAGGACCUGAAAACCUAAACACAAUUUUUCCAUUGCUUGGUUUAUGUGAAACUGGACCUGGAGGUUUUUGUUUUGUUUUUUCCUUCCCCGCCAAAGGAGGAGAGGGUUCAGCUUGGUGCAUUGGAAAAGUUUUGUAAAAUUAUGUCUUAAUGGUUUCUGUCAGAUUUGGAAAGAAUCAUUGGCAGUCUAGGGAAAAGUGGAUUUACACAAGGUACCGAAAUUACCAGGUGAUAGAGAAGACGUUUAAAUUUGUGGGCCCUCACUCUGAGUUGAGGAAGGGGCCCCUGGUGUUUUUACGACGCACACUUUCUUACUGCUGUACCUGCUGUGGAAUCUAGUGAGAUUCUAAGUAGUCCUAUUUAAUUGUGAGUCAAUAGUGACUUGCUGGGUGCGGUGGCGACUCCCACGGCGGAUGGCUGGGUCGAGAGCACAUCUUUAUUUUCUCUCUAGAUCAUUCUUCUUCCUAUUUUGAUUUGAGAAAGGGAACGUGAGAAUUAGGUCAACCAGAGUGUUUUCCCAGUAAGUGUUGAGGCAGGCGUUUGCAAGGAGCAGUAUUGGAAGCGUUUCCGGAGUUUUCCAGUGUGUUCGGGUUUCACCUGCAUGUCAGGGUUCGUCACCGUCACAGGAACCCUGGGUCAUUUUGCCAACUCAGUAGAACGGGGCUAAAAUGUAAGAGAAGUAACUUUUAUUUUGAGAACAUGCUCAAAAGUCUAACAAAAUGCACACAGGGGAUACAGAAAAUAGAAUGUGGCAAGGUGGGAGUCUGUGGAGGGAGUGGUGAGUAAAUUGUAAUCCGUCUUGGAGACCGUUUCCAAGUUUACACUACGUGAAGCGGACGGGGUUUGUGAUGCACACAGGGCACAGCCCCCAAGCCCGGGUUCUCCAUCGCUUAGUGGGAAUGCAGCCUCUGUGUGGUUUCAAGAAUGGACAUCUGAGUUCUGGCCUGUGUCCAUUUCAACAUAUUCACUGUUUGAAAGUGAAUAUUCAGUUUGACUCGUUUAAUUUCAGAAGCACUGAGAACUGAACUUAGAACAGAAGAGCACUCUAAAUAGAGAGAAGAGAGGAGAUUGUUGAGGCAGAUGGAAAGCAUCACAGGAGAAGUGUGUGGCCCUCGCCUGUGGAGGUGAAGCUCCAGCAAGGCUCCAUCUUGAGUUUUUUUAAAUUUUGAGUAGUAAAGUGAUUCACUAGAUGGAUUGCUAAAAGCAGUUCCCAUUUUAUGUUUUCUUUCUUUGGUAUUCCCAAAAUGCAAAAAAAGUAUGUCUUAGGGCCGAUAUCCCCUUUUGAAAUUACAUCGUUAGGAUUUCUGCCAUCUUUGGAACCAGGGUGUUGAAAGGCUCAGGGUGCUCGCCCACAUCAGUGAGGGAGGUGCAGCUGAUGAAGGAAGUGCUGGGUGCAGAAGGGGAUGCUCUGAAAUGGUGGCUUCUGUUUGCAGUUUCAAAGCUCAGAUGGUAAACACAGAAGACCUUCAGUGAAGUUGAAGCCUUUACUAUACGAAGGUUCUAGUGAGGGGAGUGCAAAGUGGGGCCGCAGGACAGACACCUGCUCUGAUGACCACGGAACAUGGCGUGGUGGAGUCAAUGUGUGGAAACUCAGCAAUGGUGUGAGUCUCGCGUGGAGCUGCCGACCCAUCGCUUCCUCAUGGGAAAGAUUUUUCCACUUGGGCUCCACUUAUCGCACUCAAGAAACACUGGAUAUUCUGGGAAACUCUUGGAGGGCAGGCAAAAACCAUCCUCCCUCAGACAUGGAGCAUUGACUAAGCUGCUUGUACCUGGGCAGUGUCUGUUUUAAGUAUUAACUAAAAAUCAUUUCCAAGGGAAGCAACAUAGGAAACAGGAAUUAAAAAUGCAAAUGCUGAA